GCUAAUUUUUUGUAUUUUUUUUUUUUUAGUAGAGACGGGGUUUCACCGUGUUAACCAGGAUGGUCUCGAUCUCCUGACCUCGUGAUCUGCCCUCCUCAGCCUCCCAAAGUGCUGGGAUUACAGGCGUGAGCCACUGCGCCCGGGGUUGCAUUGAGUUUAUAAGUCAAUUCAGGGGAGAAUUGACAUCUUUAAAAUACUGGGUCAUCUAAUCAGUUCACAUGCCAGGCGCAGUGGCUCAUGCCUGUAAUCCCAGCACUUUGGGAGAGCGAGGCGAGAGGCUCACCUAAGCCUGGGAGUCUGAGACCAGUCUGGCCAACAUGGAGAAACCCCAUCUCUAUUAAAAAUACAAAAUUAGCCAGGCAUGGAGGCGCAUGCCUGUAAUCCCAGCUACUCGGGAGGCUGAGGCAGAAGAAUUGCUUGAACCUGAGAGGUGGAGGUUGCGGUGAGCCAAGAUCGUGCCAUUGCACUCCAUCUGAUAGUGUGAAGAAUUUGCUGACCUGCUCUCCAUGCCUGUCUGAGCACGAGUGAAGU
rnacentral:lncRNA from 1 species